rnacentral:tRNA from 1 species
GGGCGAGUAGCUCAGCACGGAUAACCAAGCAAUCUGAAACAUAUUAUUCUAACGUGCUUGGUCUGUAUAGAGCACCAGCCUCCUAAGUUGGGGGUCGAGGGUUCAAAUCCCUCCUCGUCCGCCA